rnacentral:rRNA from 1 species
AGAGUUUGAUCAUGGCUCAGAACGAACGCUGGCGGCGUGGAUAAGACAUGCAAGUCGGACGGGAUUUUCCGUUGUAGCAAUACGAUGGAAAGUCUAGUGGCGAACGGGUGCUUAACACGUGGGCAACCUGCCAGGAAGUGGGGGGAUAGCUCGCCGAAAGGCGAAUUAAUACCGCAUGUGAUUAGAGAGGACAUCCUUUCGAAAUUAAAGUCGGGGCAACCUGACGCUUCUUGUGGGGCCCGCGGCCUAUCAGCUAGUUGGUGAGGUAACGGCUCACCAAGGCUUUGACGGGUAGCUGGUCUGAGAGGACGACCAGCCACACUGGGACUGAGACACGGCCCAGACACCUACGGGUGGCAGCAGUCGAGAAUUUUUGACAAUGGGGGAAACCCUGAUCGAGCGACGCCGCGUGGAGGAUGAAGGUCUUCGGAUUGUAAACUCCUGUCAUUGGGGAACAAGGUGCAUACGUUAACUGCGUGUGCAUUGAUAGUACCCGAAGAGGAAGAGACGGCUAACUCUGUGCCAGCAGCCGCGGUAAUACAGAGGUCUCAAGCGUUGUUCGGAUUCAUUGGGCGUAAAGGGUGCGUAGGCGGCGCGGUAAGUCGGGUGUGAAAUCUCGGAGCUUAACUCCGAAACUGCAUUCGAUACUGCCGUGCUUGAGGACUGGAGAGGAGACUGGAAUUUACGGUGUAGCGGUGAAAUGCGUAGAUAUCGUAAGGAAGACCAGUGGCGAAGGCGGGUCUCUGGACAGUUCCUGACGCUGAGGCACGAAGGUCAGGGGAGCAAACGGGAUUAGAUACCCUAGUAGUCC